AGUAUUUUAAAACACAAGAAUAUGGUCAUUAUCAUGUAUAAUAAGUGAUAAAUAUCAUGUAUGGAGGGUUUCGGAAUAUUUCGAGAUCGAGCAAGUUGAAGAAAAUAAGUUCGACGAAAAUUUGAGAAAUGCUGGACAAAUUUUUAGUCAACUUUGGAGGGGUAUAUCUCUAUGCAUAUUUGGAGUUUUAAGGCGUUUCAAAAGCCUAAAAUGAAGUUCGUCAAGUCUAGUUUAUGAUUCAACAAACCACUCAUCGAUAGGACGUCGGAGUAGAGAAUUAUAGACGCUACAAACUGAACUGUCGCGCAGAAACAGCACUGCUACAGUACGCUACAGCACUGCUACAGUACUGUAGCUACAGUGACGCCGUUUCAGCCCUUAUAAAAAGGGGCAAAACCCCAUUUUUAUCAUCUAAAAACUUCUCAAAUUUUCCAGAAAAUUCAGCAACAAAAAGGGGCCUAAAUCUCACAUAAAAGUGAGGAUUGUGAGUGAAAUUUCAAGCUACGAAGUACUAAUCGAAGUCCGGGCAACGCAUAAUCACGAAUAUAAUUUUGUUUGGAGUUAGAGGAGCAUGGGAACAAUAAGAUGUUGAAGGAUUUGCUACUUUCAUAAAAACAAGGUUUUGGACGAAACGGGAUUUGAGUUUUGGCAAGCGUAAAGGGAAAGAAAGGUAUGUAAAGCUAUCCCGAUUCUUCUCUUGGCAUGUCCUAGAUGUACUAGGCUUGGAUUUACGCCUCGGGGAAUAUUCUGUCCAUCGGAAUCCGCGUUUGAAAUCGUCUCUUUUUCAUUCAAUAGAAUUGAAUUCCUUAAGUAUGCUUUGAUGAAAAAUUAUGAAAAUUUUUCCCAAAUUGCUUAGGAAGUUAUGGAAUGUCCUAGAACCUUUGUAGGUGACCCCAUAAGCUUAAAAAUACGUAAUUUGAGCCCACCGCUUCAUUGGUUCCGAGGUGGGCCCACUAUUUCCAAUUUUACCCUUUAUGUGUCUAUGACUUGUCUUCGAGCGUUUUCGUUAGAGAUACUCUAACUACUCCUUUAUCUACUAAAUAAAAACUAUUUUAAAUAUUUCAUUAAGUCUUAUAAAUUGUUUUGAAUCUUGAAAACGAUCUCGGAUAGAUUAUGCCUCCGUAACCCGUUAUGACAUCUAAAUUUACUUACUAUGUUUCCGUCCGAUUUCAUUGAUUUGAUUUGACAUUCGAUAUGCCUCAUUGAGUCUCUGGAAAUAUAUUUAUGGUAUUUUUAGUGCAUUUAGUUUCUCACUACUCCGUUCGUGGAUGCCUCAAUGUUUCCCCCACUGAGCCCGGGCCAGGAUAUGUUGUCAAGCGUGAUCCUUUGCAUUGUUCGCCGUGCCUCGAUGUGAGGGGGCAGGUAUACGCGUACAUGGGUUUGUGGAGUAUGCUGUGCCAUGUACGCUUGUUCUGAUAUGAUCUGAUAUGGCCAUCUGAUAUGAUAUGCUAUGUUACGGGGUUAUUCCCCUUUUCUGAUCCUUAUGUGUUGUGGCACCAGUGUCGGGGGGUGACCACGUUCUGUCUGCCGAGUCCCUUGGCAGGGGCCGGAUAUGAUAUGGCAUAUGUUUUUGUACAUACUCUUCAUGUUUUGAAAAUAUGCAUUUGAUACUCUGGACAUCUCACUCACAUUUCUGUACGUUCUGUUCCGGUUAUGAUUUUGUUCCGUAAUGGGACCAGGUAUGACAUACGUUUCCUGUAAGUACUAUUUAUGCUUUAUGAUCAGCAUUUUGCUAAUCUGGAUAUUCCGUUCAUUUUUCUGUACCUCAUGUUCCGAUUAUGACUUUGUUUACUACGUUCCAUGCUUUACAUACUCAGUACAUAUUUCGUACUGACCCCCUUUCUUCGGGGGCUGCGUUUUCAUGCCGCGCAGGUACAGACUACAGAUUUGCUGACCCACCUGCCUAGGACACCUAUUCUGCUAUUCUGGAGCGCUCUUUUGUCCAGAGCCUAUACUCUGGUACAGUCUGCUGCUGUUGGAUAUAUGUGCGCUAUUCAUGGGUACGACGGGGCCCUGUCCUGUCUUAUGUUUCUGUUAUGUUCUGUAGAGGUCUGUAGACAUACAUGUGGGUUCUGUAUAUGUUUUGGGUUGCUAUGAUUUGUGAUAGCCUUAUCGGCUUCCAUGUGUUAUAUAUGUUCCUCUAUGACACUAGUAAUGUCGACUGACUUUUAUAUUUAUAUAAUCUGCUAGUCUGCUGGUUUGGAUUA